CUCCUACGGGAGGCAGCAGUGGGGAAUAUUGCACAAUGGAGGAAACUCUGAUGCAGCAAUGUCGCGUGAGUGAAGAAGGCCCUUGGGUCGUAAAGCUCUUUUAUGGGGGAAGAUGAUGACGGUACCCCAAUAAUAAGCACCGGCUAACUAUGUGCCAGCAGCCGCGGUAAU
rnacentral:rRNA from 1 species